GGAAGAAGAAGAAGAAGAAGAUAUGAACAUCAGCAACAGUCGAAGAUGAUAAGAAUUCUAUCCUUACUGACAAUUGACUUAUUGACAAUUGAAUUCAUCCUUCUGCUUCAACAAGUUGGACUUUAUGGACAUUGAUAAGGAUCUUCACUGCUCUUAUUUGUUUCCACUCGGUAACAUGAAUAAUUAUUUCGAUUAUAUUUUCCUGUUGGUUCCAAUUGUUUUAUAAUUGAUUAUGAUAAGUAGUUACAUAACAUCAGCAUUCAGAAGUGGUAAGAAAUAGGCUUAAAAAUUACCAUUGCUCAGGGAUAAAACAAAUUUAAAUACAAAA
rnacentral:misc_RNA from 1 species